ensembl:lncRNA
GGUGAGGCCACGGCUCGGGCUGAAGUCAUGCUGGUGCCUGCAGCUGAGCUCUGGAUGCAGAUCUGAGCCACUCCACCAGCAGAAAGCGGUCGGGUUUUCAGAUCUGCAAACAGAAAUGGUGAUUAGAGCUGAGCCCGUGCUCGGUGGAGUGCUCUGCUCGUAGGCUGACCCAGAGAUCCCAUGCGGUGGAGUCAGGCUGUUCCAGUCAGGAUGGGGAUUAAUUGACGAACCGGAGAUGACGACCUUUGUUGGGAUGAGACUGCAUCUCUCUGUUAUUCCCUGUUUUUUUUUGCUUCAAGUCCUCUCUGUGCGCGGUUUGCUUCCCUCCAACCCGAGAUGGAUGGAGCGCGGAUUUAAUGAGGUCGUGUUUUCCCACCAGUUCCAUUUGCAGCCAUUUAAUGUUCAGCUCAGAGCAGGAGAUUGAGUUAAAGGCUAUUUAAAAGUCUAUGAUGCAGACAAGCAUUCUGCCCAGUCCUUGUUCCUUUACAUAUUUGUUAAUGAGCCUCUCCAGGGUAAAGGUGAGGUUUAUGGUUCGCUUCUUGGAGGAGAAGCCAAUUUCAUCAUUCUGGGUUAUGCUGCUCUGAUACUGAGAUGCCGCUCCUCACACACAGAGCGUGUGCAUAUUCUGCACAGGGGUAAAAACAAAAAAUCCUGGCAAAUGUGGUGUUCUUCAGAGGGUGUUGUGCUUGAUGGAGACAUUGAGGGUGGGAUGAGCAUCGCUGAAUGAGGACAGUUCUUCCCCAUCCUGGUUGCUGCAUGGGGGGGACACCCAGAGCCAGAAUGGAAAUGUCUGCUUGGUGUCUUGCACAGUUCCCAGCUAAGUGGGGACACCAGGGGCUGUCCCGGUAGCUGCACAUUGGUAAUCUCCCACCCAGGAGACAGGGCCUGGAGGAGUUCACUUCCUGCACGUGCACCUGAACCCCUCCGUGGUCCCCCAAAUGAGCUCCAACUCUCCGAUGCUGGAGAUGUCCCUCAUUUACACACAUCUGUAGGCCCACAGCAGCUUCAUGGAACCUUAUAGCUAUGAAAUGGUUGGGCUGGAAGGGACCUCAAAGAUCAUCUAAUUCCAAGGCCCCCUGCCCUGGGCAGCGUUGCCAACCACUAAUUCAGGCACCACAUCAGAGUGCCCGGAGUCCCAUCCAACCCAGCCUUGAGCACUUCCAGGGAUGGGGCAGCCACCCUACUACCAUCUACUCAUUUGCCACAGCGAAAGUAUAUCAGCAAGGAAUGACUCCCAUCUCAAAGCUAAGCCCUGAGGCUGAGGUCUGCAGCAACACCCCCAGCUCCACACCAAGAGAUGUGAGCAGCGCUUCUCCAUCCUCAGCUGCUCCUGUUUCUCCAUGGAGAGGUUGGACUGCUGCCAUGGCAGUGCCCAUUAAACUCUUGCUGUGCAUACUGGAGGGGAAGACCUGUUGUAGCAGAAAUGCUAAGUCACAGCUUGAAACAAUGAUUGAGCACCUGAUGGGAAGGCAGGGCCAGCCCAGGGGAGCUCAGGUGCAUGCAAUGUACCUGAGUGACUGGAAGGGAUGCAAGCAGGAUCCACCCCUUCCCAGAUCUCAUUAAAGGGUUGGUAGUGGAGGUGAGGGUAUCUUGUUGGAUGUCUCUGUAUGCCUGAGGCCUUCUGAUGGUAAGCAGCUUCUUUUGUUUAUUUCUGUGCCCACGGUUGUUACAUUUGAUCAAAUGCUCACCUGUUGCAGUCUG